ACACUGAAACCUCAAUUUCUUUUAUCCUAAGGUAUAUUUCUAUUUCAGGGACCAAAACAAUGAACAAGGAGGAAUGGAAAAGUUAAACAUGAAGAGGACUGAAAGAAAGGGAGAAAAUAAGCAAAGCAAAGCCUUGAAGGCAUUCUAAGAAACAUCUAAAAGGGCCAUGACUCCCUGCUCUCUGGCUGUCUCCAAGCUGUACCAUCACUGCUGCUGUCUCCAUGUCUACUGUGAAAUCACUCAGACACAUCUGUCUAGAGAGAGAUGCAUGGCUUAGAGGGGAGCCAAGCAUCCAGGGACCCAGCUCCACUGUCACCCACAGAUGAUCCCAUGGACAGGGACACAGAGGCUGAGGAUACCCAAAUGGCUGCUUCUGCUCUGCACAGAUCGUGAUACCUUGCUGCUGUGGUCAUGAGGUGGCGUGUGAAGAGGUACCUCUUCCUAACAGGAAAUGUUUCAAAUUUAUAAUCCAUGUAAGCAUACCAUUAGAGAACACCUUUCAUAAAUUCUUUCUUCAUAGUUGCUCCAUUUGAGCUCUUGCUUUUUAAUGUACCAGCCCGUAGCUGGCACCACAACCUAUUAAAUAGCAGUAAAAUAUAAAGCUCGUGAGUUCCUUGGGUAUCCAGAAGCAGAUGGAUGUAAGACUCUGGCUGAUUUAAGAAUCAAGAAGUGCUGGCUUCUGGUGUUU